GAGAAGCAGUCUCCAGCAGGCGAUGGGCACACAGCGGAAUACUAAACAGCAGUUGGAAGUAGUGAGUUAUAUUUACACACGGCAACAAGGAGCCAUCUCGAAAACAUGAUGUUGAGUGAAGAAGAGCUUGGGAAGGCAGCCUUCAAAUCCUGAGCCUGCAGAAUCUGAGAGGCUCGUCAGGGAAUAAGGAACUGUCUGAUGUUUCCAAGCGGCACUAACUUCCCUGCACCUGUGAAAUGCACGCAGCAAAAAUGAAAUGCGCCAAGAGGGCAGGCACCCUAGCUGCUGUGUUACUGCCCUGUCCCAGCCUGGGGCGUAGGAGGCCUUCCAUAAACACUCGUGGAAUGAACGACAAAACGUGCUGUCU